rnacentral:rRNA from 1 species
UACGGAGGGUGCAAGCGUUAUCCGGAUUCACUGGGUUUAAAGGGUGCGUAGGCGGGUAGGGAAGUCCGUGGUGAAAUCCUGCAGCUUAACUGCAGAACUGCCGUGGAUACUCUCUAUCUUGAAUAUCGUGGAGGUUAGCGGAAUAUGUCAUGUAGCGGUGAAAUGCUUAGAUAUGACGCAGAACACCAAUUGCGAAGGCAGCUUGCUACACUGUUAUUGACACUGAGGCACGAAAGCGUGGGGAUCAAACAGG